UGUAAGUCGAAUUGGGGAAGUCAGUUAGGAGAAAAUAGUUAAAUCGAAGAUAAUUAUGAGAAACGAGAGAAAAACAAGAGCGCGUCAGGAGGGGAAAAAAUGCUCAAAUCGUCAGCGUCAUGCUCGGGUCGGCACCGUCACAGCUGUCGGGCUUCUGAUUGACAUGACGCUGCCUUGCGGAGAUAAAUUACGGGGAAUUCCCAGCAAACCACAAUAAGGGAAUUAGUUUUGGAGGUAUAAAUACAUAAUGAAGUUUGGGCAACAGAAUCACAAUACGAGAGGUUAAGUACACGGCGAAGAGAUUUGGGGUAACGUAGCUUGUGGAAGAAUAGUGAAAAUAUUCAAUAACACUGGAAAUGAAUGAUGUGAACAAAUAAGAAAAACAUCACAUUCAGCAAAAUUGUCAUCAAAUACAGGAUUGAUGACCAGUGGAUUAGACUACUGGAUGUUAUAAGCAUUGAGUAUUCACUCUGGAUUGAAGCACAACAUGAGACUUAUCACUAUCGAGAAGGUUCGUAUCGUCAGCGAAUAAUUUGGAAAAUAGAGUGGAGCUACGUGCAAGAUCAUUAAUAUAAAUUAAGAACAGAGCCGGACCCAAGGACGAACCCUGGGGAACCCCAUGGGUCACAGAUUUGAAGAUUGGAAUUACUCUGGCAAUUUUCAGUGAAGAUGGAAAUAUCCCCAAUCGAAGUGAAUUAUUAAAAAACUCAGUUAUACAAGGUGCUAUGAUGUCUGCCACAUACUUAAGGAAACGACUGGGAAUGUUGUCAGCGCCGGAAUGCUCGGACAGG